rnacentral:rRNA from 1 species
AGAGUGGGGGGGCGGGCUUACCAUUGCAAGUCGAACGGGGUACCCCCAAAGGAGUUUUCGGACAACUGCGGGGAACCCCUAAAGGCGGACGGGUGAGUAACGCGUGAGUAACCUGCCCCGGAGUGGGGAAUAACAGCUGGAAACAGCUGCUAAUACCGCAUAAUGCAGUUGAGUCGCAUGGCUCUGACUGCCCCAGAUUUAUCGCUCUGAGAUGGACUCGCGUCUGAUUAGCUAGUUGGUGGGGCAGCGGCCCACCAAGGCGACGAUCAGUAGCCGGACUGAGAGGUUGGCCGGCCACAUUGGGACUGAGACACGGCCCAGACUCCUACGGGAGGCAGCAGUGGGGAAUAUUGGGCAAUGGGCGCAAGCCUGACCCAGCAACGCCGCGUGAAGGAAGAAGGCUUUCGGGUUGUAAACUUCUUUUCUCAGGGACGAAGCAAGUGACGGUACCUGAGGAAUAAGCCACGGCUAACUACGUGCCAGCAGCCGCGGUAAUACGUAGGUGGCAAGCGUUAUCCGGAUUUACUGGGUGUAAAGGGCGUGUAGGCGGGAAAGCAAGUCAGAUGCGAAAACCACGGGCUCAACCUGUGGCCUGCAUUUGAAACUGUUUUUCUUGAGUACUGGAGAGGCAGACGGAAUUCCUAGUGUAGCGGUGAAAUGCGUAGAUAUUAUGAGGAACACCAGUGGCGAAGGCGGUCUGCUGGACAGCAACUGACCCUGAGGCGCGAAAGCGUGGGGAGCAAACAGGAUUUAGAUUACCCUGGUAAUCCACGCUGUAGACGAUGGAUACUAGGUGUGGGGGGACUGACCCCCUCCGUGCCGCAGUCAAAACAAUACGUAUCCCCCCCUG